rnacentral:tRNA from 1 species
GGAUAUAUAGUUCAGUGGUAGAGCAUUUGCCCAGCAUGCAUGAGGUCCUGGGUUCAAUCCCCAGUCCCUCCA